rnacentral:rRNA from 1 species
GAUGAACGCUAGCGGCAGGCCUAAUACAUGCAAGUCGAGGGGUAGUGGAGCUUGCUCCACGAGACCGGCGCACGGGUGCGUAACGCGUAUGCAACCUACCUUCACCUGGGGGAUAGCCCGGAGAAAUCCGGAUUAACACCGCAUAAAACCACAGUACCGCAUGGUACAACUGGUCAAACAUUCAUGGGGCGGAGAUGGGCAUGCGUGCCAUUAGUUAG